rfam:Nitrospirae bacterium HCH-1 contig133, whole genome shotgun sequence.
GCCGGAGUGGCGGAAUUGGUAGACGCAAGGGACUUAAAAUCCCUCGGGUUUCGCGCUCGUGCCGGUUCGAGUCCGGCCCCCGGCA